rnacentral:rRNA from 1 species
ACUCAAAUGAAUUGACGGGGGCCCGCACAAGCAGCGGAGCAUGUGGUUUAAUUCGAAGCAACGCGAAGAACCUUACCUAGACUUGACAUCCAAAGAAUCUCGUAGAGAUACGGGAGUGCCCUUCGGGGAACUUUGAGACAGGUGGUGCAUGGUUGUCGUCAGCUCGUGUCGUGAGAUGUUGGGUUAAGUCCCGCAACGAGCGCAACCCCUAUUAUUAGUUGCUACCAUUAAGUUGAGCACUCUAGUGAGACUGCCCGGGUUAACCGGGAGGAAGGUGGGGAUGACGUCAAAUCAUCAUGCCCCUUAUGUCUAGGGCUACACACGUGCUACAAUGGGCAGUACAAAGAGACGCAAUACCGCGAGGUGGAGCAAAACUCAAAAACUGUUCUCAGUUCGGAUUGUAGGCUGCAACUCGCCUACAUGAAGCUGGAGUUGCUAGUAAUCGCGAAUCAGAAUGUCGCGGUGAAUACGUUCCCGGGCCUUGUACACACCGCCCGU